CCGGGACUGGGAUCCGGGCCCGGGGAUUUGGGCCCCGGUCCCGCCGGUGGCUGCUGUGGGAGCCGGGCAGAGCCGCUCCUUCCUCGGCGGGCGGGGUGGGGGUGCCGGGGCCGGAGGAUCGAGGCGGGAUCGGGGCUGGGAUCGGGACCGGCAGCGCCGCUCGGCCGGGGCCGCCGCUCCCGCUCCGGCUGCGCCCGGUGCGGGGCUGCAGGAGCCCGGAGCCCCCGGAGGGCAGAGAGCACCUCCGGUCCUUGGCUCGGCAGGGCAGGAGCUGCCGUGCCCGGCCCGUGGCUCGCAGCGUGCCCAACGCACGGCCCGGCACGGGCACCGGGGCACCAGACACGGCUGAAGGGCUGCCCGUGGCUCCUCGGCCAGGGGCUGCUCCCCACAGGCACGCAGGGAUGCUUCAGCCCGGACAGACGGCACCGACAGCCCCGAGGGACCCCAAGGUGCAGCUGGCAUUACCUGGGAAUGGAGAUACAGAUGCUUGCAGAGCAGCUCAGACAGCAAUUCCUGGUUCUGAUCUCCCCGAGCUCCCACGCAGCUGCCAGAUACUAAAUGCCAAGCCAUAGCCUCGGAGAUGCCUUAAAAUCAGAGGUUCGAGUGGGAUGAUGUCUGGAGAUUUCCAGGGAGCCAGUUGGAGGUGCAGAAGUGAUGGAAAACUCUCACAGGAGCCAAAGCAGAUCCCUCCUGCCUGGGCUGGUGGGCAGCUGCUGGAUCUGCUCUGGGGGAAAACUCCCUGCCCCUGCCAGGAGUGCUGACUCUGCUUUUCCUCCAGCUCCUGAGCAGUGUCAGGGCCACCGGGAGGGGGUUCAAACCCAAAAAGUCCCCACAGCCCCCAGAGUGAAUGAUCCCAGCAGAGAAAUGCAGCACUGAAAUGAAAAACUUGCAGCUCUGUUAAAAAGGCUGUGACAACACUGUAAUGGGAUUCCCAGGAACCUUCUGGAUUGCUCUUGGUUCUGCUUUUAUGUAUUUUUAGUCCCUCAACGGGCAGCUUGUAGAAUUUAUUCUGGGACUUAGAGGUUGAGCAGGGUGGGCUCUGGACUGACCUUCGCCUCUGGUGCCACUUUGUGCGAACACAACUUGGCCAGGCUGGGUGAACUCAUGGCCUCAGCUUUCCCCUCCAAAUGUCCCUCCCUUAUUUCCCUGUGGCUGAGCUGGGAUUUGGUCCCAGACUGUCACUCCUCACCUCCCCGUGCCCCCACAGUGUCCCUUCUGUUCCCCACAGAGCCCUGGGGACACCAGGGGGUCCCUUUGCCUUCUCCCGCCCCUUUCCAGCCCGAGGCUCCUCUGCCCUUGUCCCACACAGCACAGGGGCACAAAAGGGGAAAGGCUCCAGAAAACAUUUCUGCAAUUAACCAGCAAUUAUUUCAAUUCCCCAGUGAGAAGAACAUGAACUCACAGCCACCGAGGCCUGAGGGGUUCCUGCAGUGAGAGCUCAGCGCGUGUCCCCAGAGAUAGAUAUUAUGUAAACCUUCUGUCAAACUCUGACAAUUUUCUACAAGUCCAUUUCCCACAGCAGAACUGCUCCCUGCCCAGCACAGGAGCUGCAAGUGCUGUUGCAGGGCACAAUGUCUGAAGGAACACUGGAGCUGUGACAUUACAGCCAGCAAAAACAAUUACUAAGUAAAAGAGAUCCUCACCUGCUCCAAGAACUGAAUCUCUGUGGCUCAUCCUCACGGGGUGACCCUGCUCCAGGGAGGAAUCUCCACACAGCCCCGAGACCUGGGGUCAGACGCCGCCCUACCAGCAGAAGAACAAGGGGUUAAUGAAGCUUUUUGGACACAUUCUGUCCUCAGAGUGGUUUGACAAAACAUCGUCAAUGUGAUCUUUAAUAAAGACAGCUUGCACCCA